rnacentral:rRNA from 1 species
UGGGGAAUUUUGGACAAUGGGCGCAAGCCUGAUCCAGCCAUGCCGCGUGAGUGACGAAGGUCUUCGGAUUGUAAAGCUCUUUUGGCGGGGACGAUAAUGACGGUACCCGCAGAAUAAGCCCCGGCUAACUUCGUGCCAGCAGCCGCGGUAAUACGAAGGGGGCUAGCGUUGUUCGGAAUUACUGGGCGUAAAGCGCACGUAGGCGGACUGAUAAGUCAGGGGUGAAAUCCCGGGGCUCAACCUCGGAACUGCCUUUGAUACUGUUAGUCUCGAGUCCGGAAGAGGUGAGUGGAAUUCCUAGUGUAGAGGUGAAAUUCGUAGAUAUUAGGAAGAACACCGGUGGCGAAGGCGGCCCACUGGUCCGGUACUGACGCUGAGGUGCGAAAGCGUGGGGAGCAAACAGGAUUAGAUACCCACGUAGUCCCUGAGCGGGCUGGCAAGGCGCAU